AUGCCACAGUUGACCCAGGAACAAAGGACCGUAGUGACCGUAGUCUACCUUUGAGCCAGUCUAUCUCUGAAGCCACCAUGAGCCAAAUCCCUUAUCACUUUAGAUGGCUUCUCAGGUAUUUACUCACAGUAAUGGGAAGCUGGCUCUUACUUUCUGAAGCAGUGGUUUUAUAUCAUGUCCCCAUGAGACAAGAGAGUGCUGCAUGGGGGCAGGAAGCAUGUGGCAGUGCAAGCUGCUUACCUUCGGGAAGCUAGGAAACAAAGAGUGGGACAGCAAGGGCUGGGAUCCCAAAAGCCGCUUCAUGAACAUGCUUCACGGACAUGCUCAGAGUGACCUAACUCUUUCCCAUGAUGCUCCAGCUGGAGGAGGAUCAGAAAUUCAAAGUUCUUCCUGGCUACAUAUGAAUGGCAGUGCAUGUAUAGACUCAUGGUUGCUUAAGACGAUGAGAGUGGUUGCCCUUCUGCCUGGUCCUUGCUGUUGGGGCACACCCCUAUGUGGUCUGCUCCCACGAAGACUCCAUAUUCUAAUCCAUCUUAGAGGACUCGCUGCACUCAGAGCAGUGGAAUAAACAAAAGAAUGUCUAGAGUGCUGGAAAUGUUGCCUCUCCUUGUCUUCUCAGAUACCGGCAAAAUCUCUGUAAUAAAUUGCCAGAAUUUCACAGAUGAAUCAUGAGGAGGAUGUGAUGUUUUUAAAUGAGACAAGAUCUCACUCUGUCACCUAUACUGGUCUGGAAUUCACAGUGUAGCUGAGGUGAACCUUGGACUCACAGCAAUCCUCCUGCCUCAUCUUCUAGUGCACAAUGUACUAGGAUUAGACAGUGUUAGUACCCAGUGUUAGUAUGUUAUCUUCUGAAGCUAAUGUAUGUACAUGAAACAAUUUAGAAUCACCACACC
rnacentral:lncRNA from 1 species